AGCGCAUACGGUGGAUGCCUUGGCAGUCAGAGGCGAUGAAAGACGUGGUAGCCUGCGAAAAGCUUCGGGGAGUCGGCAAACAGACUGUGAUCCGGAGAUGUCUGAAUGGGGGAACCCAGCCAUCACAAGAUGGUUAUCUUACACUGAAUACAUAGGUGUAAGAGGCGAACCAGGGGAACUGAAACAUCUAAGUACCCUGAGGAAAAGAAAUCAACCGAGAUUCCCUUAGUAGUGGCGAGCGAACGGGGACCAGCCCUUAAGUUGUAUUGAGAUUAGCGGAACGCUCUGGAAAGUGCGGCCAUAGUGGGUGAUAGCCCUGUACGCGAAAAUCCCUUUGCAAUGAAAUCGAGUAGGACGGGGCACGAGAAACCUUGUCUGAAUAUGGGGGGACCAUCCUCCAAGGCUAAAUACUACUGACUGACCGAUAGUGAACCAGUACCGUGAGGGAAAGGCGAAAAGAACCGCGGAGAGCGGAGUGAAAUAGAUCCUGAAACCGUAUGCGUACAAGCAGUGGGAGCCCACUUUGUUGGGUGACUGCGUACCUUUUGUAUAAUGGGUCAGCGACUUAUUUUCAGUGGCGAGCUUAACCGAAUAGGGGAGGCGUAGCGAAAGCGAGUCUUAAUAGGGCGUCUAGUCGCUGGGAAUAGACCCGAAACCGGGCGAUCUAUCCAUGGGCAGGUUGAAGGUUGGGUAACACUAACUGGAGGACCGAACCGACUACCGUUGAAAAGUUAGCGGAUGACCUGUGGAUCGGAGUGAAAGGCUAAUCAAGCUCGGAGAUAGCUGGUUCUCCUCGAAAGCUAUUUAGGUAGCGCCUCAUGUAUCACUGUAGGGGGUAGAGCACUGUUUCGGCUAGGGGGUCAUCCCGACUUACCAAACCGAUGCAAACUCCGAAUACCUACAAGUGCCGAGCAUGGGAGACACACGGCGGGUGCUAACGUCCGUCGUGAAAAGGGAAACAACCCAGACCGUCAGCUAAGGUCCCAAAGUCAUGGUUAAGUGGGAAACGAUGUGGGAAGGCUUAGACAGCUAGGAGGUUGGCUUAGAAGCAGCCACCCUUUAAAGAAAGCGUAAUAGCUCACUAGUCGAGUCGGCCUGCGCGGAAGAUGUAACGGGGCUCAAACCAUGCACCGAAGCUACGGGUAUCACCUUUGGUGAUGCGGUAGAGGAGCGUUCUGUAAGCCUGUGAAGGUGAGUUGAGAAGCUUGCUGGAGGUAUCAGAAGUGCGAAUGCUGACAUGAGUAACGACAAUGGGUGUGAAAAACACCCACGCCGAAAGACCAAGGUUUCCUGCGCAACGUUAAUCGACGCAGGGUUAGUCGGUCCCUAAGGCGAGGCUGAAAAGCGUAGUCGAUGGAAAACAGGUUAAUAUUCCUGUACUUCUGGUUAUUGCGAUGGAGGGACGGAGAAGGCUAGGCCAGCCUGGCGUUGGUAGUCCAGGUUUAAGGUGGUAGGCUGAGAUCUUAGGUAAAUCCGGGAUCUUAAGGCCGAGAGCUGAUGACGAGUGUUCUUUUAGAACAUGAAGUGGUUGAUGCCAUGCUUCCAAGAAAAGCUUCUAAGCUUCAGGUAACCAGGAACCGUACCCCAAACCGACACAGGUGGUUGGGUAGAGAAUACCAAGGCGCUUGAGAGAACUCGGGUGAAGGAACUAGGCAAAAUGGCACCGUAACUUCGGGAGAAGGUGCGCCGGUGAGGGUGAAGCAUUUACUGCGUAAGCCCACGCCGGUCGAAGAUACCAGGCCGCUGCGACUGUUUAUUAAAAACACAGCACUCUGCAAACACGAAAGUGGACGUAUAGGGUGUGACGCCUGCCCGGUGCCGGAAGGUUAAUUGAUGGGGUUAGCGCAAGCGAAGCUCUUGAUCGAAGCCCCGGUAAACGGCGGCCGUAACUAUAACGGUCCUAAGGUAGCGAAAUUCCUUGUCGGGUAAGUUCCGACCUGCACGAAUGGCGUAACGAUGGCGGCGCUGUCUCCACCCGAGACUCAGUGAAAUUGAAAUCGCUGUGAAGAUGCAGUGUAUCCGCGGCUAGACGGAAAGACCCCGUGAACCUUUACUAUAGCUUUGCACUGGACUUUGAAUUUGCUUGUGUAGGAUAGGUGGGAGGCUUUGAAGCGUGGACGCCAGUCUGCGUGGAGCCAACCUUGAAAUACCACCCUGGCAACUUUGAGGUUCUAACUCAGGUCCGUUAUCCGGAUCGAGGACAGUGUAUGGUGGGUAGUUUGACUGGGGCGGUCUCCUCCUAAAGAGUAACGGAGGAGUACGAAGGUGCGCUCAGACCGGUCGGAAAUCGGUCGUAGAGUAUAAAGGCAAAAGCGCGCUUGACUGCGAGACAGACACGUCGAGCAGGUACGAAAGUAGGUCUUAGUGAUCCGGUGGUUCUGUAUGGAAGGGCCAUCGCUCAACGGAUAAAAGGUACUCCGGGGAUAACAGGCUGAUACCGCCCAAGAGUUCAUAUCGACGGCGGUGUUUGGCACCUCGAUGUCGGCUCAUCACAUCCUGGGGCUGAAGCCGGUCCCAAGGGUAUGGCUGUUCGCCAUUUAAAGUGGUACGCGAGCUGGGUUUAGAACGUCGUGAGACAGUUCGGUCCCUAUCUGCCGUGGACGUUUGAGAUUUGAGAGGGGCUGCUCCUAGUACGAGAGGACCGGAGUGGACGAACCUCUGGUGUUCCGGUUGUCACGCCAGUGGCAUUGCCGGGUAGCUAUGUUCGGAAAAGAUAACCGCUGAAAGCAUCUAAGCGGGAAACUUGCCUCAAGAUGAGAUCUCACUGGAACCUAGAGUUCCCUGAAGGGCCGUCGAAGACUACGACGUUGA
rnacentral:rRNA from 2 species